CCCCUGGUGGUCCAGUGGCCAGGACUCUGCACUCCCAAUGCAGGGGAUCCAGGUUCAAUCCAUGGUUGGCGAA
rfam:TPA: Bos taurus chromosome 1, whole genome shotgun sequence.